rnacentral:rRNA from 1 species
UACGAAGGGGGCUAGCGUUGCUCGGAAUUACUGGGCGUAAAGCGCACGUAGGCGGUCUUUUAAGUCGGGGGUGAAAUCCUGGAGCUCAACUCCAGAACUGCCUUCGAUACUGGAAGACUUGAGUCCGGGAGAGGUGAGUGGAACUGCGAGUGUAGAGGUGAAAUUCGUAGAUAUUCGCAAGAACACCAGUGGCGAAGGCGGCUCACUGGCCCGGAACUGACGCUGAGGCGCGAAAGCGUGGGGAGCAAACAGG